CAUCGCUGGAAUAAAUCCAUGGACGUAGCAGUUGAGCAGUUGGAAGUGGAUGUCCAUGUCGUACAGGCUGCAGCCAGACAUUAUAUGUUUCAACCGCAGGGGGAGCAGAGACAUCGGGCAGGAUCGGCCGUUAUAGGUUUGCGUAUUGUGUUGUCAGGCGGGCUGCUCCCAUCUAUCUUUAAGGGGCGGGGGAGAAGUUGGGUGUUGCCUCCCUCUUCAAGCAUAACUCGGGACCCACAAAGAGUUGCGCUCCGUUACAAUCUAUCCUCCUGAACCAGCGUCUCUCGGUCUCUCUGUUUACCCGUCGAAGCACCCCUCGAACCGCGAACCAUGGGAGUGGAAGGCUGCACCAAAUGUAUUAAAUACCUCCUCUUCUUCUUCAAUUUCGUCUUCUGGCUUGCUGGGGGGAUCAUUCUGGGCGUGGCCCUAUGGCUGAGACACGACACAAAGACCAGCAAGCUGCUGGA